rnacentral:rRNA from 1 species
AGCGAACGCUGGCGGCAGGCCUAAAACAUGCAAGUCGAACGAACCCUUCGGGGUUAGUGGCGGACGGGUGAGUAACACGUGGGAACGUGCCCUUUGGUUCGGAACAACUCAGGGAAACUUGAGCUAAUACCGGAUGUGCCCUUCGGGGGAAAGGAUUUAUCGCCAUUGGAGCGGCCCGCGUCUGAUUAGCUUGUUGGUGAGGUAAAGGCUCACCAAGGCUACGAUCAGUAGCUGGUCUGAGAGGANGAUCAGCCACACUGGGACUGAGACA